rnacentral:rRNA from 1 species
UGGGGAAUCUUAGACAAUGGGCGCAAGCCUGAUCUAGCGAUGCCGCGUGUGUGACGAAGGCCUUAGGGUCGUAAAGCACUUUCGCCAAGGAUGAUAAUGACAGUACUUGGUAAAGAAACCCCGGCUAACUCCGUGCCAGCAGCCGCGGUAAUACGGAGGGGGUUAGCGUUGUUCGGAAUUACUGGGCGUAAAGCGCACGUAGGCGGACUAUUAAGUAGAGGGUGAAAUCCCAGGGCUCAACCCUGGAACUGCCUUCUAUACUGGUAGUCUUGAGUUCGAGAGAGGUAAGUGGAAUUCCAAGUGUAGAGGUGAAAUUCGUAGAUAUUUGGAGGAACACCAGUGGCGAAGGCGGCUUACUGGCUCGAUACUGACGCUGAGGUGCGAAAGCGUGGGGAGCAAACA